rnacentral:lncRNA from 1 species
AUGCUCUUGAUCCCAUAAAAUUAUUGUAUAUAUUAUAAUUAUCCACGUGUUGACAUGCAAUUUGCUGGAACUUGAUAGCCUAAUGCCACCAUCCGUAUAUAUGCACGUGAAAGUUAUACACACUGCUCUCCUUUGCUAUUAUUAUCAACACAGGAAAACUGUCCCUCUAGCCAUAUAUCACCAUAGAAUUGCAAGGUAAGGAGGAGAAGAAACUAUAAGCCAUCGACUUGAAAACGAGUUAUUUGAAGCACGAGAAGCUAUGGAAGUUGGCCGGAAUAUCGGAGCCUUUCUCGGGGAGGAGCGCGGCCUGAAUCUGAAAGAAACUGAGCUGUGCCUUGGCCCGCCCGGGGGAGGUUGUGGUGGAAGUGAAAGUGACUCGAUUAAAAUUACUGGGAAGAGAGGAUUUUCAGAGACUGUUGAUCUGAAACUNN